UACGUAGGUGGCAAGCGUUGUCCGGAUUUACUGGGCGUAAAGAGCGCGCAGGCGGUCGUUCAAGUCGCGUGUGAAAGCCCCCGGCUCAACUGGGGAGGGUCACGCGAUACUGAUCGACUCGAAGGCAGGAGAGGGUAGUGGAAUUCCCGGUGUAGUGGUGAAAUGCGUAGAUAUCGGGAGGAACACCAGUGGCGAAGGCGACUACCUGGCCUGUUCUUGACGCUGACGGCGCGAAAGCUAGGGGAGCGAAGUGGGA
rnacentral:rRNA from 1 species